GAUGAACGCUGGCGGCGUGCCUAACACAUGCAAGUCGAACGGAAGGACGAGAAGUUUGCUUCGCUGAUGUUUGCGGCGGAGGGGUGAGUAACAUGUGGAUAACUCCCCUAUAAGAGUGGAGUAAGUUCAGGGCCGGGGUGCUACUACCUACGAAUAUCUUGUAACGCAGGGGGCCAUAGUGAACUAGGGCCUUGCGGUCACUUGUAGACGGAUCCGCGCUGUAUUAGCUAGUUGGUAAGGUAACGGCCUACCAAGGCGACGAUCCAUAGGCGGCCUGAGAGGGUGAUCAGCCACACUGGAACUGAGACACGGUCCAGACUCCUACGGGAGGCAGCAGUGGGGAAUCUUCCACAAUGGGCGAAAGCCUGACGGAGCAACGCCGCGUGUGUGAAGAAGGCCUUCGGAUUGUAAAGCUCUGUUAUCAGGAAAGAACACAUGUGUACUUAUCCGGUCGCAUCUUGACGGUACCUAAUCAGAAAGCCCCGGCUAACUACGUG
rnacentral:rRNA from 1 species